CCAGCACUCUUUAAUCAUCAUUACUCCAGGCAUCUGAUUACUCAUCAGUUUCUCCAUUCUUUCACCGAUAGAAAAUUUCUUCCAUUCCUUUUGGGUGAGACCAGCCUUUGAACAGAUUGUAUUGUAGGACACCCACGGAGAGCAGUGAUGCCCACACAGCGCCAUAUGUGAGAUGGUGGGAAAACAGGUAUUUGAGUCCAAGGAAGAAACCUUAGCAGCAACCAAAACUCCAGCACCUUGAUCUUGGACUUCCAGCCCUCAGAAGUGUGAGCUCAUUUUUGUGGUUUUGGCCACCCAGUCUUUGGUAUUCUGUGAUAGCAGCUUGACCAGAUUCACGUGGACAGUAUUCCAAGGAGAAGGUACAGCAAGCGUCAGAGCCCAAGGAUGUGGAAGGAGGAAAGAAGCGUUGAAUUAUAUUAAGAAAAAAAAAGAAGAAGAAAUGAAGAGAGCUUUUCCCUCCAAUUUGUUCAGAGAAAGGGGAAGUGGAAGGAAAUGGAACUGUGACCAGGCUGCAGAGCACGGCCCUAACCAGGCGAGGCUAGGGACAUUAACAGGACAUGCCCAGAAGAAGCUUUCUCACCACGAAGAGGGACUUAGAUGCUAUCCUGGGGUGCCAGAGAGGCAUAGUAACUGGGAAGGGGUACAAUUGAGAUCCUUCUAUCACCAUCAAUCUGCCACUUAAAUGGCCGUUUUGGAUACAUCACAGGUCAAAAGAAACUUAGGCCACCAACCACAGGCAGACUAGGUAAAGGGCAUUGUCACCUUUCCAUCACUGUGA